UUACAUGUAUUGGGUAGGAGC
rnacentral:miRNA from 1 species